rnacentral:rRNA from 1 species
GAUGAACGCUGGCGGCGUGCCUAAUACAUGCAAGUCGAGCGAACAGACGAGGAGCUCGCUCCUCUGACGUUAGCGGCGGACGUGUGAGUAACACGUGGAUAACCUACCUAUAAGACUGGGAUAACUUCGGGAAACCGGAGCUAAUACCGGAUAAUAUAUUGAACCGCAUGGUUCAAUAGUGAAAGACGGUUUUGCUGUCACUUAUAGAUGGAUCCGCGCCUCAUUAGCUAGUUGGUAAGGUAACGGCUUAUCAAGGCAACGAUGCGUAGCCGACCUGAGAGGGUGAUCGGCCACACUGGAACUGAGACACGGUCCAGACUCCUACGGGAGGCAGCAGUAGGGAAUCUUACGCAAUGGGCGAAAGCUUGACGGAGCAACGCCGCGUGAGUGAUGAAGGUCUUCGGAUCGUAAAACUCUGUUAUUAGGGAAGAACAAAUGUGUAAGUAACUAUGCACGUCUUGACGGUACCUAAUCAGAAAGCCACGGCUAACUACGUG